AAUAAUGUUGUCCCUUUGAAUUUGAAAGCAUGAAGAGACAUAGAAAUAAUAGUGUGUUUAUUCUAUUCAUGCAAUCUUCUCAAUUUAACUUUCACUGUAUUUGUAGGAAAAAUUACGAAAUAGCAGAUCUAAAUAGCAAGAACAAUUGUCAUCUGGACUUGAAGGCAUGAACACAUAAGUAGAAAAAAAUGCAGAAAAUGAAGGCGUACAUAUAUCAAUUUCUACGACUGAAUAUUAAUUUACAUCUCAAAUAUUAGUUGGGCAACAUUUCACAUCUGUUAGAAAAUCAGAGAAGAUCAGCGAAAAUUGUACAACAUGCAUUCAUUAAUUUUCUAGUGCUGCCCAAAAACAAUUGAUUAGGUGGGCCUAAUCCGACAAACACGGCGUGACACAAUUGCAGACUACUGCCCAUUGUCAAUAUCACCAUCUCCCUCCUAUUUUCCGCCCUUUCUCCUGUUAUUAAUUGGUUCCAUCGGCUAAUCCAUGCAGCUGGCCGUGCAUGUGUGUUAUCCUCAGCCUGCUUUCGACACAACACAUGUAAAUUAAUACCCGGCAAAUACAACACUAUCUGUCGGCACUGCACUAUCUUUCUUAUACCAGGCAAAUACAACACUAAUUUUAUCAAGUACAGAAGGACCAGAG
rnacentral:lncRNA from 1 species